rnacentral:rRNA from 1 species
AUACGUAGGGUGCGAGCGUUGUCCGGAAUGAUUGGGCGUAAAGGGCGCGUAGGCGGCCCGGUAAGUCUGGAGUGAAAGUCCUGUUUUUAAGAUGGGAAUUGCUUUGGAUACUGUCGGGCUUGAGUGCAGGAGAGGUAAGUGGAAUUCCCAGUGUAGCGGUGAAAUGCGUAGAGAUUGGGAGGAACACCAGUGGCGAAGGCGACUUACUGGACUGUAACUGACGCUGAGGCGCGAAAGUGUGGGGAGCAAACAGGAUUAGAUACCCUGGUAGUCCACACUGUAAACGAUGAAUGCUAGGUGUAGGGGGUAUCGACCCCUUCUGUGCCGCAGUCAACACAAUAAGCAUUCCGCCUGGGGAGUACGGCCGCAAGGUUGAAACUCAAAUGAAUUGGCGGGG